rnacentral:rRNA from 1 species
AGAAGGGCGUUUGGUGAAUGCCUUGGCAGCAAGAGGCGAUGAAAGACGUGAUACUCUGCGAUAAGCCAUGGGGAGCUGAGAAUAAGCUUUGAUCCAUGGAUCUCUGAAUGGGGCAACCCACCUGAAUGUUUGUUAUUGUUAGCACAGCUGAUCAAUAAUGAGCAUGACCAGGUACUUAAGACCUGAAUACAUAGGGUUUUAAGGGCAAACCCGGGGAACUGAAACAUCUAAGUACCCGGAGGAAAGGAAAUCAAUUGAUACUCCCCUAGUAGCGGCGAGCGAACGGGGACCAGCCGAGCCGGAUAAGUGAGAAGAACAUGUUGGGAAGCAUGGCCAUAGCGGGUGACAGCCCCGUAUUCGAAGCUUUGACGGACGUAUUAAGUAGGGCGGAACACGUGAAAUUCUGUCUGAAGAUCGGAGGACCACCUUCGAAGGCUAAGUACUCCUUGCUGACCGAUAGCGAACCAGUACCGUGAGGGAAAGGUGAAAAGCACCCCGACGAGGGGAGUGAAACAGUACCUGAAACCGAACGCCUACAAUCAGUCGGAGGCUCCUAGCGAGCUGACGGCGUACCUUUUGUAUAAUGGGUCAUCGACUUGGUCUCACGAGCAAGCUUAAGCCGUUAGGUGUAGGCGUAGCGAAAGCGAGUCUUAAUAGGGCGUAUGAGUUCGUGGGAUCAGACCCGAAACCGAGUGAUCUAGGCAUGGCCAGGUUGAAGGUGCGGUAACACGCACUGGAGGACCGAACCCACAUCCGUUGAAAAGGAUCGGGAUGAGCUGUGCCUAGGGGUGAAAGGCCAAUCAAACUCGGAGAUAGCUGGUUCUCUGCGAAAUCUAUUUAGGUAGAGCGUCAUCCGAAUACCCCGGGGGGUAGAGCACUGGAUGGGUAAUGGGGCCCCACAGGCUUACUGAUCCUAACCAAACUCCGAAUACCCGGGAGUACUAGAUGGCAGACACACUGCGGAUGCUAACGUCCGUAGUGGAGAGGGAAACAACCCUGACCUACAGCUAAGGCCCCCAAUUCAUGGCUAAGUGGGAAAGCAGGUGGGACGACCAAAACAACCAGGAGGUUGGCUUAGAAGCAGCCAUCCUUUAAAGAUAGCGUAACAGCUCACUGGUCUAAACAAGUUGUCCUGCGGCGAAGAUGUAACGGGGCUCAAGCCAUGAGCCGAAGCUUAGGAUGCCGUAAGGCAUGGUAGCAGAGCGUAGUGUGACAUAAGACUUAUCCUCUUUAGUGUCUUUCGGGGCACCUUGGAGGAUCGAGUCUUUUCGAUGAAGCCGGCCUGUGAGGGAUCCGGUGGAGAGAUCACUAGUGAGAAUGAUGACAUGAGUAGCGACAAAGAGUGUGAGAGACACUCUCGCCGAAAGUCCAAGGGUUCCUGCUUAAAGCUAAUCUGAGCAGGGUAAGCCGGCCCCUAAGCCGAGGCCGAAAGGCGUAGGCGAUGGGAACUAGGUUAAUAUUCCUAGGCCAGGAGGAUGUGACGGAUCACAGGUGUAGUUCAAUCUUAUCGGAUUGAUUGGGCUGCUGAGUGGUUCCUGGAAAUAGCCCUCCAUCAGACCGUACCCUAAACCGACACAGGUGGACUGGUAGAGCAUACCAAGGCGCUUGAGAGAACGAUGUUGAAGGAACUCGGCAAAAUACCUCCGUAAGUUCGCGAGAAGGAGGCCCGGUUCCUAGGCAACUAGGGGCUGGGGGCACAAACCAGGGGGUGGCGACUGUUUAUUAAAAACACAGGGCUCUGCGAAGUCGCAAGACGACGUAUAGGGUCUGACGCCUGCCCGGUGCCUGAAGGUUAAAAGGAGAGGUGAGAGCCUUGAAUUGAAGCCCAGGUAAACGGCGGCCGUAACUAUAACGGUCCUAAGGUAGCGAAAUUCCUUGUCGGGUAAGUUCCGACCUGCACGAAUGGCGUAACGACUUCCCCGCUGUCUCCAACAUCGACUCAGCGAAAUUGAAUUGCCUGUCAAGAUGCAGGCUUCCCGCGGUUAGACGGAAAGACCCCGUGCACCUUUACUACAGCUUCGCACUGGCAUCAGGACUGCAAUGUGCAGGAUAGGUGGUAGGCUUCGAAGCAGGGACGCCAGUUCCUGUGGAGCCUCCCUUGAGAUACCACCCUUUGCAUUCUUGAUGUCUAACCGCGGUCCGUUAUCCGGAUCCGGGACCCUGCGUGGCGGGUAGUUUGACUGGGGCGGUCGCCUCCUAAAGCGUAACGGAGGCGCGCGAAGGUUGGCUCAGAGCGGUCGGAAAUCGCUCGUUGAGUGCAAUGGCAGAAGCCAGCCUGACUGCGAGACUGACAAGUCGAGCAGAGUCGAAAGACGGCCAUAGUGAUCCGGUGGUCCCGAGUGGAAGGGCCAUCGCUCAACGGAUAAAAGGUACGCCGGGGAUAACAGGCUGAUACUGCCCAAGAGUCCAUAUCGACGGCAGUGUUUGGCACCUCGAUGUCGGCUCAUCUCAUCCUGGGGCUGGAGCAGGUCCCAAGGGUACGGCUGUUCGCCGUUUAAAGAGGUACGUGAGCUGGGUUUAGAACGUCGUGAGACAGUUCGGUCCCUAUCUGCCGUGGGUGUAGGAGACUUGAGAGGAGUUGCCCCUAGUACGAGAGGACCGGGGUGAACGAUCCACUGGUGGACCUGUUGUUGCGCCAGCAGCAGUGCAGGGUAGCUAUGAUCGGACAGGAUAACCGCUGAAGGCAUCUAAGCGGGAAGCCCCCCUCAAAACAAGGUCUCCCUGAGGGCCGUGGAAGACCACCACGUCAAUAGGCCGGAGAUGUAAGCGCAGCAAUGCGUUCAGUUGACCGGUACUAAUCGCCCGAUAGGCUUGAUU